rnacentral:rRNA from 1 species
GACGGAGGAUGCAAGUGUUAUCCGGAAUCGCUGGGCGUAAAGCGUCUGUAGGUGGUUUAAUAAGUCAACUGUUAAAUCUUGAGGCUCAACCUCAAAAUCGCAGUCGAAACUAUUAGGCUAGAGUAUAGUAGGGGUAAAGGGAAUUUCCAGUGGAGCGGUGAAAUGCGUAGAGAUUGGAAAGAACACCGAUGGCGAAGGCACUUUACUGGGCUAUUACUAACACUCAGAGACGAAAGCUAGGGUAGCAAAUGGG